rnacentral:rRNA from 1 species
GACGAAUGCUGGCUGCGUGCUUAACACAUGCAAGUCGAACGGUGAUGGAGGGCUUGCCCUCCGGAUCAGUGGCGAACGGGUGAGUAACACGUGGGCAACCUGCCCCUCACUCUGGGAUAACGCCGGGAAACCGGCGCUAAUACCGGAUACGACCAGGCGCGACAUCUCGCCUGGUGGAAAGAAUUUCGGUGAGGGAUGGGCCCGCGGCCUAUCAGCUUGUUGGUGGGGUAACGGCCCACCAAGGCGACGACGGGUAGCCGGCCUGAGAGGGCGACCGGCCACACUGGGACUGAGACACGGCCCAGACUCCUACGGGAGGCAGCAGUGGGGAAUAUUGCGCAAUGGGCGAAAGCCUGACGCAGCGACGCAGCGUGAGGGACGAAGGCCUUCGGGUUGUAAACCUCUUUCAGCUGGGACGAAGCGAAAGUGACGGUACCCGCAGAAGAAGCACCGGCUAACUACGUGCCAGCCGCCGCGGUAACAC